CCUACGGGUGGCUGCAGUGGGGAAUAUUGCACAAUGGGCGCAAGCCUGAUGCAGCGACGCCGCGUGGGGGAUGACGGCCUUCGGGUUGUAAACCUCUUUCAGUAGGGACGAAGCGCAAGUGACGGUACCUACAGAAGAAGGACCGGCCAACUACGUGCCAGCAGCCGCGGUAAUACGUAGGGUCCGAGCGUUGUCCGGAAUUACUGGGCGUAAAGAGCUCGUAGGUGGUUUGUCGCGUUGUUCGUGAAAACCGGGGGCUUAACCCUCGGCGUGCG
rnacentral:rRNA from 1 species